UGGAAGAGGACCUCAGAGGGGUGAGAGGGCUCGGUUGGAUCAGGGUGAAGUAGUGAGGAGAGGACAAUUCCAGAAAGAAGGAGCAAAGGCACCUGCCAGGAGGAAGCCUAGGAUUCGAUGGGAAGUGGGGAUUUCUGGCCAGGUGGGCAGAGCCAGGACAUGGGGCAUUCUGAUCCCUGGUUGAGGAGUUGUGCUUUGAUGCCACACAGAAGGGGUGUCAUCAUGACAAUAGAGGAACAGUGGGGAAGGGCCUGGGUGCAGCAGGGCGUUCUGAGGGCCCUAGAGCUUGGCUGGAGGUGUCCAGGCAGGAAGCACUGAGGCUGGGUCACAGACAAGGCAGGAUGGAGCCUGGAGCUGGAGACUUCUCAGAGGCUGAGCCCAGCGUCUGGGAACCAGUGGGACUCAGGGGCCACUGCAGAAUGGCCUCUGCAGUGGCCACCCUGCAGAGCAGAAUGGCUCACCCUGGGUGAGCUGCAGGGCGUGCACCCGGGCUGCUCCCAGGCUCGUCCACGCUCUGCCCAAAUGACCAAGUCCACUUCUCCGGGUGGGAGACGUGUGGGGUUCUCUGGCUCUCCACCAUGGUCCUGUGGUGACUGAGCCGCCGGCUCUCCUGCAGCAGGAGGUCUGCGCAGGCCAGUAUGGGCCGGGCAUGGCGGAGCUGGAGGAACAGAUCGCGGAGCUCAACAUCCUGCAGAACGAGAUCAACGACCAAGGAGAGCAGCUGCGGAGCCUGGUGGGGCCCGCCCCGUGGGCAGGAUGCCGCCACCAUCCGGAGCCAAUACCGAGACCUACUGAGGGCGGCGUCGUGGCGCGGGCAGAGCCUGGGCAGCCUGUACACGCACUGCAGGGCUGCACGUGGCAGCUGAGCGCCCUGGCGGAGCAGCAGUGCCGCAUCCUGCAGCAGGACUGGAGCGACCUCAUGGCCGACCUGCGGGCGUGCGGCGGGAAUACGAGGUCGGCUGGCAGAGGUUGGGGCCAGGCGGGGGCGGCCAGGGCCAUUCUGGUCCUCACCCGCCGCUCCCCACCCGACUCGCCCCCAGCACUCAAGCAGCACGAGCUGCUGAGCCAGGAGCAGAGCGUAAACCAGCUGGAGGACGACGGCAAGCGCAUGGUGGAGCUGCGGCACCCCGCGGUGGGGCCCAUCCAGGAGCGCUGGGGGCAGGGCGAGAGUGAGAAGGGACGUGGUGGGCGGGGAAGGGGGGGUGGACGUGGGUGCGGGGGCGGGGCGUGGUCCGAGGGCUCCGUGCUGCGGUACCCAGGCCCACCAGGAGGCCCUGAAGAUGGAGUGGCAGAACUUCCUGAACCUGUGCAUCUGCCAGGAGACCCAGCUGCAGCACGUGGAGGACUACAGCCGGUGAGCCCUCGGGCAGGCGGCAGGGGCGGCAGGGGCGGGAGGUCCCACAGCACUCCUGCCCACAGGAGAGGCACUGCACCUCUCAACUAGACAGAGCUGGCAGGGCGCAGUGGCUCACACCUGUAAUCCCAGCACUUUGGGAGGCCGAGGCUGGCGGAUCACUUGAGGUCAGGAGUUCGAGAUCAGCCUGGCCAACAUGGUGAAACCCUGUCUCUACUAAAAAUACCAAAAUUAGCCAGACGUGGUGGCGCACGCCUGUAAUCCCAGCUGCUCAGGAGGCUGAGGCAGGAGAAUCGCUUGAACCCAGGAUGUGGAGGUUGCAGUGGGCCGAGAUUGGUCCACUGCAUUCUAGCCUGGGUGACAAAGAGAGACUCUACCUCAAAAAUAAAAUAAAAUAGAGCUGUGUGGUUGCCACUCGGUCCCAGAGGGAAGGAAAGGCAUGGGCACAUUCUCAACAGGGUGAAGCGGUUCCCAGGGGGGUGAAAAUUGGUUCUUAAUGGCAGAAAAAUAACUCUUCUUAUGCAUGAAGUACAGAUCCACAUACAGCACCUAAGCUGUAUACAGCAUAUCUGUGGUAUAAAACUUUCGUGGGGGCCAGGUGUGGUGGCUCACACCUGUCAUUCCAGCACUUUGGGAGGCUGAGCCAGGAGAAUUGCUUGACCCCAGUAGUUCCAGACCAGCCUGGGCAACAUAGUGAGACCCUGUCUCUAUACAAACAGAUAAAUCUCUAUCAAAAUAAAUAAGUAAAUAAAAUUUUAUGGGGAUGAGGUGGGGGAAAAUAAAGAAAAGAUUUCUUAAAAGGCUCUUUAGGAGAAUAAUAAUGAAAAAAAACGGUUGAGAAACCCUGAUAUAAUAUACAACUGGGAUUUGGGGGCAGAUAAUGUUUCAUACAUUUUCCUAUAGAACCACAAACUAUGAUCACACACUGACAAAAAUUCCGUAAAAACACUUGGAAUGCUUCUUUAAAGCAUAGCUUCU
rnacentral:lncRNA from 1 species